rnacentral:misc_RNA from 1 species
UGAAGAACGUAGCGAAAUGCGAUAAGUAAUGUGAAUUGCAGAAUUCAGUGAAUCAUCGAAUCUUUGAACGCACAUUGCGCCCUCUGGUAUUCCGGGGGGCAUGCCUGUUCGAGCGUCAUUAUAACCACUCAAGCUCUCGCUUGGUAUUGGGGCUCGCGGUUCCGCGGCCCCUAAAAUCAGUGGCGGUGCCUGUCGGCUCUACGCGUAGUAAUACUCCUCGCGAUUGAGUCCGGUAGGUCUACUUGCCAGCAACCCCCAAUUUUUACAGGUUGACCUCGGAUCAGGUAGGGAUACCCGCUGAACUUAAGCAUAUCAAUAAGCGGAGGA